GCAUGUNUAAGUUCACACUGUUUCNCGGUGAAACCGCGAAUGGCUCAUUAAAUCAGUCGAGGUUCCUUAGAUGACACGAUCCUACUUGGAUAACUGUGGCAAUUCUAGAGCUAAUACAUGCCUAUGAAGCUCCGACCCUCGUGGAAAGAGCGCUUUUAUUAGUUCAAAACCAAUCGCCGUUCGUCCUCGGGCGGGCGGCGUCCCUUUUGGUGACUCUGGAUAACUUUGUGCUGAUCGCAUGGCCUCCGCGCCGGCGACGCAUCUUUCAAAUGUCUGCCCUAUCAAAUGUCGAUGGUACGUGAUAUGCCUACCAUGUUUGUAACGGGUAACGGGGAAUCAGGGUUCGAUUCCGGAGAGGGAGCAUGAGAAACGGCUACCACAUCCAAGGAAGGCAGCAGGCGCGCAACUUACCCACUCCCGGCACGGGGAGGUAGUGACGAAAAAUAACAAUACGGGACUCUCUACGAGGCUCCGUAAUUGGAAUGAGUACACUUUAAACCCUUUAACGAGGAUCUAUUGGAGGGCAAGUCUGGUGCCAGCAGCCGCGGUAAUUCCAGCUCCAAUAGCGUAUAUUAAAGUUGUUGCAGUUAAAAAGCUCGUAGUUGGAUCUCAGGUGCAGGCGGACGGUCCGGCUCGCGCCGGUUCACUGUCCGUAUUUCCUGCCCUACUGGUCUGCCGGCUCUCUCCCGCGGGUGCUCUUCGCUGAGCGUCCCGGGUGGCCGGCGCGUUUACUUUGAAAAAAUUAGAGUGUUCAAAGCAGGCCUCGGCUGCCUGAAUAAUGGUGCAUGGAAUAAUGGAAUAGGACCUCGGUUCUAUUUUGUUGGUUUUCGGAACUGGAGGUAAUGAUUAAAAGGGACAAACGGGGGCAUUCGUAUUGCGGCGUUAGAGGUGAAAUUCUUGGAUCGCCGCAAGACGAGCUACUGCGAAAGCAUUUGUCAAGAAUGUUUUCAUUAAUCAAGAACGAAAGUCA
rnacentral:rRNA from 1 species